rnacentral:snRNA from 1 species
GUGCUCUCUUCGACAGCACAUAUACUGAAAAAUUCUGUAAUGAAUAUAUGGAAGAU